GCCUUUUCACUUGGCCUGGCUGGUCUGGCCAGCCAGUUUUUUUUUCUGGUAUUUAAAGUAAGUACUGCUCUAGUCUUUGCCACAGCCCACAGCUUGCUGGCCUCUGCCUGCUGCUGUUCUUCGUUGCCACAUGGCUUCGUCGUUCAAGCACUGAUGACUUGAUCAGCUCUGAUUGGAUGGGAGAUCAGAGUUCAGACCGAUGGAUCGGUUGGUUCUUCAAGCUAGCAGAAUUUUACCAAGACCCAGAGUUCGACAUGGUGUGGCAAUGGAACCAAUCUGCAUGACGUUGAUCCUAUCACCCAUAUCCUUGACGACCAAAUGGAGGUUCCCAAAAAAAUCGAGCAAGCAAGCAGGGCUGUCUGAGUCUGUCAUUCUGGCAAAGGCCCCAGCAUCGAUUGUUCACACGAGAAAAGCGAGCGAAAGAAGGAAAGGACAUAUAGUCACGUCACGUGUUAAGGAAAAAGGAAAAAAUAAAAUAAUUUUAAAAAGGGAUAUAGUACUAUUUUAGAGGACAAAAUCGCUUAUAAAUAUUAUUAGAAAGAAGGUUAACUUAUGAAUAUUAUAAUAGAGAAGCCUGUUAAAAGAAGUACCAUAAUAGAAAAAACUCUAGGCUUCUACGCUCUCAUGUGCAUCCCACACAGGUCGGAGCGGCAGCCACCCGUGAUGAGCAAAGCAGGCAGCGGCCCCGGGUCCGACGGGGCGACGGCUGCGGCGGCGUCCGCCGCGGUGCAGAAGCAGAAGUCGCUGAUGUAGAAGGCGGGCCCAGCCGUCUCCAGCCUCGUCGACAAUUUCUCCUCCCUCAUCAACAUCGCUCGAGUCAACGAUCCGCCAGUGCACAACUCACAGGAGGCCUUUCAGAUGGAGAUGCGCGCUGUCCGCAUGGGGGAUUGAAGUGCUGGGUCAGCAAGCUAAGGGAACUGAGAGAAUGCUGGAAAGGAUUGGGCAGGAGGUAGCAGCGAGCCUCAAGGAGCUAGAGGCACACUACUACUCAUAUGUUGUGCGAUCACCAUCCUAUGAUUGAGGUUAAUCUUAUCAUUCCAGGAUAAAAUUUCUUGUGUUUCCAAUAUGCACUCAUUUCACAUAUGGUUUAACAGCGACUGUUUGUUCUAUCAUUGGAGUAUCACUAAGUUGUAGCAGUGUUAAUGUUAUGUGGAAUGAUUUAAUCUCAGUGCUAGUUGUAUCGUGCUUUACAUAUAUAUAUAUAUAGGUGCAUGAUGCAUAAUUCAUAAAGUCGUAUAUCUAUUUGAUUA